GGCGUAGCUCAACUGGCAGAGCAGCUGAUUUGUAAUCAGCAGGUUGCGGGUUCAAUUCCCAUCGCC
rnacentral:tRNA from 1 species